ensembl:lncRNA
GCCUGCCAUAUGUGGUGGUUCCAUUUAUUCAUAGAGACUCUGACUCGUCUGCUGAGGACCUUGAACCCCCAAGGUGGUGAGUCUGCCUCACCACCAAAGCCUUGUAGACUGGGAUUGGAGACCACACAUCAGCCUUGUAAGGUGGCAGAGAUCUGAAUGAUGCCCUGGUGUGAUCUGACUCCCUGAGUGGUAAGCGGCUCUCCUUAAAGCAGCUUCUCUAUUAAGAGGUCUCUAUUUCUGGCUGCAAAUUCCACAGACUUUAAAUCACUUUAAUUAAGGCUUUACUUUUCUUCGAUGUUUAAUUGGCCAAUCCUCAUUGAUGACCAUCUGGGGAAGAUUGUUUAUGCAUCUCCUGGAUUCUGUGUAAGUAGCUGCGAUGGUGAGGAUGGACCUGGUGUGAUGGUGGUGCUGGAGAGAAGGAAGCAGAAAUUCGAACAGUUUCAGUGACUUGCCCAUAAUUCUAAACCUAGGAGGUCCUGUUCAUACUCAGACAAGUGAAAACUAAAACAACUUUGAACCUUAAAUUUUACUUGAAAUCUCUUGCAUCUCACCAUUACCAAGUGGGAAGAUUUUUAUGCUGGUCACUGAGUACAGGUAGUGAUAAUUCAGCAUAAUCGAUGGCCUGCUGUGUUCUUGCAAAUUGCUUUGAUACUCAGAGGUAAAAGCCAAGGAAUUACUGGUUGCAAUAGAGUCCUCCAUCUUCUCAUUUCUUUUUCCUCCCUCAUUUUGUCCCUACAAGAAUGGCUGCCACUUUUUCAGUAUUGUGCUUUUUUGGUUUCAUUUUAGAAUUCUUAGUUUCUUCAUUUUUUGAUUUACGAUUUUCUACUCCAUACCCUAAGAGGAAUAAGUUGUUUUUGAAGUGUUGCUCUUUAAUGACGCCUUAAUGAUAAUAAGAUAAUAUACAGUGAGUGGCGGGUUAUUUUCCUGUAAGGAAUAGAAUGUUAUUGAGAUUUGGGACAGCGAAAACUCUUAUUUGUUUGCCUGAUCCUGUACUUGUCACCUAUCAUUGCUGUAGGCAACUUCAUCCAAUCUUCCACUAACCUGACCUGCAAUAUAGAGUUGUGCUUAAUGUUGGCAACUUAAUGAGUUGCAUUUGCAGGAAAAUUAACAUUAAUAUGACUAGGUAGAGGGAAAUGUUUACCUUGAAGGAAUACUCCUCUGAUGCUGGAAUUUUGGGUAAAAGCAGUGACAUGUUUUGCAGUGAGCUUACUAGGUUUCAGACAAGAUACUAAGUGCUUCUCACAUCAUCUCAAAUUCUAGUCUCUUUGUUUUGUUAUUCUAAAGGCUACAUUUAGCACCUAACCACUGAAAUCCAAUGGGAUGGACUGUGAGGGACAUCUUUGCACAUUCAUUGCUAAUCAGACUCAGGUACUUUGUGGGUACAACUCCUCCUUGGGGAAGGUUAAUUCUCCUCUUCUUCAAUAAUAGUAGGAGAGGAACAUCAUGUCCUCUGUGAAGAAGGGAGGACCCUUUUUUUGAACACCUACUGUAAGCCAGGCACAUUUAAACAUUGCGUGGAAAAUCCAUUGUUAUUUUUCGUGUUUAGAAUUGGGUGCUGCAACACUGAUUUUUUAGGCAGACAGAAGGAAACGAAUUCUAGAGAACUCAUUUGGCAGAAGCAUUGCCAUUCUGAGCCGUGGCCCAGCCUUCAUCACUCAGGAAGGGAGUUGGAUAGAAGCUCGCCUGAACCCUUCCAUCCCAGCAGUCUUCACACACAGCUUAGAGUUGCCCAACCUGGGGGCAAAUAUGUUGCCCCUGCCUUUUCUCCCAAAUGAUUCUCCUAAGUCUGCAGCAUUUACUUGAGCCCACCCCGCUUACCUAUUACUGCCCAUCUUGUUCUGGGGUUGAGAGAAUUACACAGUUCUGAUUUUCAAAACCUCAUUCCCCCAAAAUGUUAAAAAAGGUGUGUAGUAUGACCAAGACAUACCAAGUGGUUCUGCAUUGUCUGUCUGUUGUGCCUGGGAUAUAAUGCCUUCCACCAAAGACUCAUGUAUUAAAG